ACACCCCCCACCAGCAGGGGCAAGAGGAGCAGCGGGAUGGGAGCAGGCCAACGUCCUGCGGCCUGGUUGAGCUCGCACUGACAAUCGCAGGCCCAGUAACCCGCAGGUCACCGCGCUCCCCACCUGCGUUGCUGACGGUGACAUCGUCAGGGGAGGGGGGCGCGCCUUCCCAGAGGCUCAGGUCGCGAGGGUAGCCGGGGUCCGGGCGCGCCGCCGCCUCGUCGUAGCGCCAGUACUGCCGGCCGCGGACCAGCGCUAAAAGUGCCAGGGCCUUGCCUGGUGGCUCAGACCUGUAAUGCCAGCACAUUGGGAGGCUGACACCGGAGAAUCACCUGAGCCAGGAGAUUGAGCCCAGCCUGGGCAAUAUAGUGAGACUCCAUCUCUACAAAAUAAUAAAAUAAAUUACUAGC
rnacentral:lncRNA from 10 species